rnacentral:rRNA from 1 species
GAUGAACGCUGGCGGCGUGCUUAACACAUGCAAGUCGAACGAAGCACUUAACUUGAUUUUCUUCGGAAUUGAUUGUUUUGUGACUGAGUGGCGGACGGGUGAGUAACGCGUGGGUAACCUGCCUCACACAGGGGGACAACAGCUGGAAACGGCUGCUAAUACCGCAUAAGCGCACAGCUUCGCAUGAAGCAGUGUGAAAAACUCCGGUGGUGUGAGAUGGACCCGCGUCUGAUUAGCUAGUUGGCAGGGUAACGGCCUACCAAGGCGACGAUCAGUAGCCGACCUGAGAGGGUGACCGGCCACAUUGGGACUGAGACACGGCCCAA